ensembl:lncRNA
CCUCAAGUUCCUCCUGCAGUGGCAAUUCUUUGAUCACAUGGGCACUUUCUAUGAGGAAACUACUCCACCCAAGGUGGGCUUCUCACCUCUGGAAGGAGGCCAGGAAAGCUCGUCUUUGCCUCAGUAUCAGGCACUCGCGUUUUUCUCAGUGGUGUUAGGUGGAGUUUCCCCUCCAGUGGUGUGUGGCCCAGUUGCCCAGGGAGGAAGAAGUAGGCCUUUCCCAUCCUGGGCAGAACAGAAUCCUCUGUCAUAGGUGCAGUGGCUUCACGAGGAGAGUGGCCUUGUCUCUUGAUGAACCAAAGUAGGAGGGAGCCUUCCUGCCAUAAAUUAAACCCAAGACCAG